rnacentral:rRNA from 1 species
GGGUUGUGAGGUUAAGCGACUAAGCGUACACGGUGGAUGCCCUGGCAGUCAGAGGCGAUGAAGGACGUGCUAAUCUGCGAUAAGCGUCGGUAAGGUGAUAUGAACCGUUAUAACCGGCGAUUUCCGAAUGGGGAAACCCAGUGUGUUUCGACACACUAUCAUUAACUGAAUCCAUAGGUUAAUGAGGCGAACCGGGGGAACUGAAACAUCUAAGUACCCCGAGGAAAAGAAAUCAACCGAGAUUCCCCCAGUAGCGGCGAGCGAACGGGGAGCAGCCCAGAGCCUGAAUCAGUGUGUGUGUUAGUGGAAGCGUCUGGAAAGGCGCGCGAUACAGGGUGACAGCCCCGUACACAAAAAUGCACAUGCUGUGAGCUCGAUGAGUAGGGCGGGACACGUGGUAUCCUGUCUGAAUAUGGGGGGACCAUCCUCCAAGGCUAAAUACUCCUGACUGACCGAUAGUGAACCAGUACCGUGAGGGAAAGGCGAAAAGAACCCCGGCGAGGGGAGUGAAAAAGAACCUGAAACCGUGUACGUACAAGCAGUGGGAGCACGCUUAGGCGUGUGACUGCGUACCUUUUGUAUAAUGGGUCAGCGACUUAUAUUCUGUAGCAAGGUUAACCGAAUAGGGGAGCCGAAGGGAAACCGAGUCUUAACUGGGCGUUAAGUUGCAGGGUAUAGACCCGAAACCCGGUGAUCUAGCCAUGGGCAGGUUGAAGGUUGGGUAACACUAACUGGAGGACCGAACCGACUAAUGUUGAAAAAUUAGCGGAUGACUUGUGGCUGGGGGUGAAAGGCCAAUCAAACCGGGAGAUAGCUGGUUCUCCCCGAAAGCUAUUUAGGUAGCGCCUCGUGAAUUCAUCUCCGGGGGUAGAGCACUGUUUCGGCAAGGGGGUCAUCCCGACUUACCAACCCGAUGCAAACUGCGAAUACCGGAGAAUGUUAUCACGGGAGACACACGGCGGGUGCUAACGUCCGUCGUGAAGAGGGAAACAACCCAGACCGCCAGCUAAGGUCCCAAAGUCAUGGUUAAGUGGGAAACGAUGUGGGAAGGCCCAGACAGCCAGGAUGUUGGCUUAGAAGCAGCCAUCAUUUAAAGAAAGCGUAAUAGCUCACUGGUCGAGUCGGCCUGCGCGGAAGAUGUAACGGGGCUAAACCAUGCACCGAAGCUGCGGCAGCGACACUAUGUGUUGUUGGGUAGGGGAGCGUUCUGUAAGCCUGUGAAGGUGUACUGUGAGGUAUGCUGGAGGUAUCAGAAGUGCGAAUGCUGACAUAAGUAACGAUAAAGCGGGUGAAAAGCCCGCUCGCCGGAAGACCAAGGGUUCCUGUCCAACGUUAAUCGGGGCAGGGUGAGUCGACCCCUAAGGCGAGGCCGAAAGGCGUAGUCGAUGGGAAACAGGUUAAUAUUCCUGUACUUGGUGUUACUGCGAAGGGGGGACGGAGAAGGCUAUGUUGGCCGGGCGACGGUUGUCCCGGUUUAAGCGUGUAGGCUGGUUUUCCAGGCAAAUCCGGAAAAUCAAGGCUGAGGCGUGAUGACGAGGCACUACGGUGCUGAAGCAACAAAUGCCCUGCUUCCAGGAAAAGCCUCUAAGCAUCAGGUAACAUCAAAUCGUACCCCAAACCGACACAGGUGGUCAGGUAGAGAAUACCAAGGCGCUUGAGAGAACUCGGGUGAAGGAACUAGGCAAAAUGGUGCCGUAACUUCGGGAGAAGGCACGCUGAUAUGUAGGUGAAG